CGUAGAUUUCACUGUAAAAGAGUGAUAAAGCAAAAUGUACAUUCAAAUGAAAGACAAAGACACAAUGACCAAGAGCUGGAUCCGGCAGCUGCAUUGACCCAUCCACAAAUCCUAACUCACAUCUCAAGGUUGUCACAGAAUUACACCUCCCAAACUGGAAACCUGUGUGGAAUGGAGAAAAGUGAUUGAGGAUGGUUUUUGAUGCUGUAGAAUCAAUAAAGUCUGGUGCAGAUUGGCAGAGGGGGUCUAUACCAACCCCUGUGUAAAACUGCUGAAUGUCGGUCACAAUUGA